rnacentral:rRNA from 1 species
AUUGAACGCUGGCGGCAGGCUUAACACAUGCAAGUCGAGCGGAGAGAAGUAGCUUGCUACUGAUCUUAGCGGCGGACGGGUGAGUAAUGCUUAGGAAUCUGCCUAUUAGUGGGGGACAACAUUUCGAAAGGAAUGCUAAUACCGCAUACGUCCUACGGGAGAAAGCAGGGGAUCUUCGGACCUUGCGCUAAUAGAUGAGCCUAAGUCGGAUUAGCUAGUUGGUGGGGUAAAGGCCUACCAAGGGGACGAUCUGUAGCGGGUCUGAGAGGAUGAUCCGCCACACUGGGACUGGGACACGGCCCAGACUCCUACGGGAGGCAGCAGUGGGGAAUAUUGGACAAUGGGCGGAAGCCUGAUCCAGCCAUGCCGCGUGUGUGAAGAAGGCCUUAUGGUUGUAAAGCACUUUAAGCGAGGAGGAGGCUACUUUAGUUAAUACCUAGAGAUAGUGGACGUUACUCGCAGAAUAAGCACCGGCUAACUCUGUGCCAGCCGCCGCAGUAAAAC